CCUACGGGGGGCAGCAGUAGGGAAUCUUCCACAAUGGACGAAAGUCUGAUGGAGCAACGCCGCGUGUGUGAUGAAGGGUUUCGGCUCGUAAAACACUGUUGUAAGAGAAGAAUGACAUUGAGAGUAACUGUUCAGUGUGUGACGGUAUCUUACCAGAAAGGAACGGCUAAAUACGUGCCAGCAGCCGCGGUAAUACGUAUGUUCCAAGCGUUAUCCGGAUUUAUGGGGCGUAAAGCGAGCGCAGACGGUUGUUUAGGCCGAAAUGAAAAGCCACAGGUUAAACGGGGGAGGUGUUUGGAAAACGGGUAACUUGAGUGCAAUAGGAGGGAGUGGCACUCCAUGGGUAGGGGUGGAAUGCGUAGGUAAAUGGGAGGACCCCAGUGGCGAAGGCGGCUCUCUGGACUGUAACUGACGUUGAGGCUCGAAAGUGUGGGUAGCAAACAGGAUUAGAUACCCUAGUAGUC
rnacentral:rRNA from 1 species